rnacentral:sRNA from 1 species
UAUUUCCGUGAAGUAUACUGAGUUAGAGAAUAAGAGCAAAAAACUGUACUAGUUUUAGCAGUGACUUGAACAUUGUUCCCUGGAGGAAAGAGCUUUUCCAUUCCUUCUGAGGUGAUGCUGCUACUGGUGUCUCCAGUUUGGACUCUUGCUUACUCUCUUGUCCCUAGAGCGGCACUGCAGAGGUGGAGCUGAAGAAGGGAGCCACUCUCAAAAUCACACUGGAUAAUGCCUACAUGGAAAAGUGUGACGAGAACAUCCUAUGGCUGGACUACAAGAACAUCUGCAAGGUGGUGGAAGUGGGCAGCAAGAUCUACGUGGAUGAUGGGCUUAUUUCUCUCCAGGUGAAGCAGAAAGGUGCCGACUUCCUGUUGACGGAGGUGGAAAAUGGUGGCUCCUUGGGCAGCAAGAAGGGUGUGAACCUUCCUGGGGCUGCUGUGGACUUGCCUGCUGUGUCGGAGAAGGACAUCCAGGAUCUGAAGUUUGGGGUCGAGCAGGAUGUUGAUAUGGUGUUUGCGUCAUUCAUCCGCAAGGCAUCUGAUGUCCAUGAAGUUAGGAAGGUCCUGGGAGAGAAGGGAAAGAA